UUGACUGCAAAUAGUCAUUUUGUAAAAUGCUGUGUCACGGAAGUUGCUGGUUUAGUGCAAGAUUGUGUUGUCUAUUUGAAUAAAUGUGUAAUCUUUGAGAUACAUACUGCGGACGGAAAAAGUACGACGAAGAACCUUCUUCAAAUGUGAGGAAAAAAAUGGCUACCAUAGCUGCUGCAGCUGCUGAUUAACGGGAUAGGUUAUGCAGAAUCUUCAUCAAACUGCGAUGAAGGAUGAGGCAAAAAAGGUUUGGCACUGUGUGAGUGCUAGUUAUAAACGAAGCCAAUCGGAAUAAGACCAAGCAGAUGAAAAUCGAUUGGAAACAUAACCAAAAACGCGGCCUUACGGGAGUGUUUCACGGCAUUAUAAAAAUGCUGUCUAGUUAAAAUUGGCGUGGAACAUUCGCUUCAUUAUUGAUUAUUCACAUCAAAUCUGUUAGAAAAUAAUGAAAUGGAGGAAAGCUACGGACAAUCCAUAAUCAAACAAGAUCGUCAAUUUUGCUAACGUGUCUGCUAUGUGACCGCAAGCGUAAUCAGCAACAAAAAUCAACAGGAUGCAGCCUCCAGCCAGUUUAUCCAAAUGGGACUGAUGUUUCCUACAAUAAGCGAUCGCUACAAAACAAAUCAAGUCGCAUAAUCUACAGUGGA